UGUGCAGGUGGGUGAUUAAGUGGUGUAUGAAAGCUCGCGGCUCAACCGCGAGAGGUUAUGCCAGACUGGACACCUAGGGUGUGGGAGAGGGAGGUGGAAUUCCGGGUGUAGUGGUGAAAUGCGUAGAGAUCCGGAGGAACCCCAGAGGCGAAGGCGGCCUCCUGGCCCACGACUGACACUCAGACACGACAGCAUGGGGAGCGAACG
rnacentral:rRNA from 1 species